rnacentral:rRNA from 1 species
UACGAAGGGGGCUAGCGUUGCUCGGAAUUACUGGGCGUAAAGGGAGCGUAGGCGGACAUUUAAGUCAGGGGUGAAAUCCCGGGGCUCAAGCUCGGAAUUGCCUUUGAUACUGGGUGUCUUGAGUAUGGGAGAGGUAUGUGGAACUCCGAGUGUAGAGGUGAAAUUCGUAGAUAUUCGGAAGAACACCAGUGGCGAAGGCGACAUACUGGCUCAUUACUGACGCUGAGGCUCGAAAGCGUGGGGAGCAAACAGG